CACCGGCGGCUCGAGUGGUAACCGCUAUUAUUGGGGCUAAAGGGUCUGUAGCCGGCCGACUAAGUCUCUUGGGAAAUCUGGCAUCUCAAGUGUCAGGCUGCCAGGGGAUACUGGUCGGCUUGGGACCGGGAGAGGUGAGAGGUACCUCGGGGGUAGGGGUGAAAUCUUGUGAUCCCUGAGGGACCACCAGUGGCGAAGGCGUCUCACUAGAACGGGUCCGACGGUCAGGGACGAAAGCUGGGGGCACGAACCGG
rnacentral:rRNA from 1 species